GACGAACGCUGGCGGCGUGCCUAAUACAUGCAAGUUGAGCGAUGAAGAUUGGUGCUUGCACCAAUUUGAAGAGCAGCGAACGGGUGAGUAACGCGUGGGGAAUCUGCCUUUGAGCGGGGGACAACAUUUGGAAACGAAUGCUAAUACCGCAUAAUAACUUUAAUCAUAAGUUUUAAGUUUGAAAGAUGCAAUUGCAUCACUCAAAGAUGAUCCCGCGUUGUAUUAGCUAGUUGGUGAGGUAAAGGCUCACCAAGGCGAUGAUACAUAGCCGACCUGAGAGGGUGAUCGGCCACAUUGGGACUGAGACACGGCCCAAACUCCUACGGGAGGCAGCAGUAGGGAAUCUUCGGCAAUGGACGAAAGUCUGACCGAGCAACGCCGCGUGAGUGAAGAAGGUUUUCGGAUCGUAAAACUCUGUUGGUAGAGAAGAACGUUGGUGAGAGUGGAAAGCUCAUCAAGUGACGGUAACUACCCAGAAAGGGACGGCUAACUACGUG
rnacentral:rRNA from 1 species